rnacentral:rRNA from 1 species
GCUCAAAUUUGAAAUCUUAAAGGUUUUACCUUGACGAAUUGUAGUUUAAAGAAGUGUUUUCUGUUGGUGUUUUGGUAAAAGUUCUUUGGAAUAGGACAUCAUAGAGGGUGAGAAUCCCGUAUUUGACCAUUACUUCCAGCGUUGUGAUACACUUUCAAAGAGUCGGAUUGUUUGGGAAUGCAGUCCAAAAUGGGUGGUAAAUUUCAUCUAAAGCUAAAUAUUGGCGAGAGACCGAUAGCGAACAAGUACCGUGAGGGAAAGAUGAAAAGAACUUUGAAAAGAGAGUUAAACAGUACGUGAAAUUGUCAAAAGGGAAGCGUUUGACACCAGUGUUGUUUUCUCGAAAAUCAAUUAAAAAAAGUUGGAUUUUGUAUUGUUAAGACCUUAUCAGCUUACUGUACUCUUUUCUUGCUUUUUUUAAUGCACUUUUCGUUUAACAAG